CGCUGGCGGCAUGCUUUACACAUGCAAGUCGAACGGCAGCGCGGGCUUCGGCCUGGCGGCGAGUGGCGAACGGGUGAGUAAUAUAUCGGAACGUACCCAAGAGUGGGGGAUAACGUAGCGAAAGUUACGCUAAUACCGCAUACGAUCUAUGGAUGAAAGCAGGGGACCGCAAGGCCUUGUGCUCCUGGAGCGGCCGAUAUCUGAUUAGCUAGUUGGUGAGGUAAAGGCUCACCAAGGCAACGAUCAGUAGCUGGUCUGAGAGGACGACCAGCCACACUGGAACUGAGACACGGUCCAGACUCCUACGGGAGGCAGCAGUGGGGAAUUUUGGACAAUGGGGGCAACCCUGAUCCAGCAAUGCCGCGUGAGUGAAGAAGGCCUUCGGGUUGUAAAGCUCUUUUGUCAGGGAAGAAACGGGUGGGGCUAAUAUCCCUAUCUAAUGACGGUACCUGAAGAAUAAGCACCGGCU
rnacentral:rRNA from 1 species